GAAAGAACAAAGCUCCAGUUUCUGCGCCAUCAUCCCCACAUAAUGGAAGAGGGGCCUGGAAACAGAGGAGGGGCAGCCAGGCACCAAGAGGAAAAUGCAGCCUCCUUCUGGAAACAAGGGCUCCCUCCCGCAGGCUUUCCCGAGGCCGGGUUCAAAAGGCCCAUGUUCACCUGAGUUUUAGGAUCUGCCAAAAUCCAAAAGUCACCAUCUAAAAACAACUCCAAAGAAAGGUGGGAGAAGAAAGUGGGAAAAUCUUUAUCAUCGAUUGUUUAUACCUAAAGAAAGAGAGGAGAGAGAAUUCCCCGUGGCCCAGCCAGGGGGUGAAGAGUUAAUCCUAUAAUCUAGUCGGCCAGGGAGCAAGGCAAGGACAAGAGCUACCUUCCAGCUGAAGUGUGCGUGCAGAAUGUUCGAUGCUUGGCGGGCGGAGCCGAGAAGACGGAGACCAUUUGCAAGCGUUUAUUGAGUGCCCAGGGCAUACGGAGCCCUAUUCUCAGGAUGCAGUGGAAUUCUAAAGUUCACAAGAUAGGGUGCUCCCCUAUCCUCUGAGAAUGGACCCUCCCCCAGCCCCCACUUUCAGGUUCUUCUGUGUGUCCACUCCCCCUGCCCUGGUCACUGCUCCCUGCUGGGCUCAGCAAAAUACCGGCAAAUGCCUGGUGACCUUUUCAGAGUUAGACCAAUUACACUCCAGUGAAACAGCUUAAGAAUUGCAAAGCAGCACGUGCAAACUCUUCUAGUUGCUUGAGUGAGAGCCAGAGCAACGGCUCUACCCCUGGCUGCAUAUUGGAACACCUGGAGAAUUUUUUUUCACUGCCGGUGCCUGAGUUCUGCCCCGAGAGAGUAUGAUUUCAUUGCUAUUGGAGGCAGUGGCAUUUUUUAAAGCCCUCCAGGUGACUUAAACAUGCAACAGAGUGUGAGAACCACUGAACUGGAGGAUUUAGGACUUUUGAGUUGUUUCAUGGUGAAUCUUUGGGCUGAAAUUGAUCAAGUUUGCUACUUCGCUAAUGGAAUCAAGACACAGAUUCUAUUGGCUAGAUAGGCUGCCAUCUUGGAACAAAAUAACGAUGACAAGUUUUCAUA